ACGCUCCCGGGCCAACACUUGUGAGAUAACCAUCACUGUCAGCAGGAGGCGGCUCCAUUUCCCCCAACCACAGCUGGAGAGCAGUGAGGGUUUGGCACCAGGACCUGGAUGAGCUGUCAGUGCAGUGGAUGGGAUCAGAGGGUGACAGGUGCUGGCACUUGGAGAUGGGCUUCACCCCAUGCUGGCACAGCACAAACCCAACCUCAUGGCAUCACACCGAGCAGCACCGGGGCUCUGGCAGCGUGGUGAGGGGCUGCAGGGCUGCAGCCACACAGCUGUUCCGCAUUUUGGAUUUCUCCCCCUUCCAGCCUCGGCUGCAAUCUAAUAAUAAUAAAAAAGGAAACACACACCAACCCCAAACAAGCCCCAAACCUUGUUUGAUGGAUCGGGAGUGCUACCGAAACAGUUGGGAGCGGCUCUUCCUGCUUAGUAUGGUAAUUAAACACUUCAAUUGC
rnacentral:lncRNA from 7 species